rnacentral:lncRNA from 1 species
CCCGGUGCCUGACUGGGGAACUUGGUUAACACCCAGUAGAAAGAGACGAGUACGUGCACCCCAUGGCUUCUCACUCUCAGCUCCAGGACUUAAGGAAAGAUGUGCGGUUCAUUUUGUUCCCGUCUCAGGCGACGCUGAGGAACAUUUCUGGAAACUGCAAAUCCAGUUGGAUUUUCCGCAGUGGAAAUUCAACUCCAGGCCUGUGAAAGCUCCAGGGCCCAGCGGCCCAGCACCCGGGGUUCCUGUCUGCUCCCCAAGCAAGGUCCACCUCCCCCGGCUUUACCCUGUCUGCAGUGCGCCCCGGGCACGUUCAGGCAGCACAUCUCACAGCCCUUCCCAAGGAUCCUGGGGCCGUGUCCUCAGGACGCUCUAAGGCUCUGGUGGGCUGCCGCUCCCUCAUUCCCCCUGACCAUGUCCUCCAGCAUGUGUUCACAUCAGGACUCCGUGAGCAAGUCUGUGAAGCUCAGAAA